GACGAACGCUGGCGGCGUGCUUAACACAUGCAAGUCGAACGCUGAAGACCUGGCUUUUGUUGGUUUUGAUGAGUGGCGAACGGGUGAGUAACACGUGAGUAACCUGCCCUCUUCUUUGGGAUAACGCCCGGAAACGGGUGCUAAUACUGGCUAUUCACUGAUCUUCGCAUGGGGGUUGUUGGAAAGGUUUGUUCUGGUGGGGGAUGGGCUCGCGGCCUAUCAGCUUGUUGGUGGGGUGAUGGCCUACCAAGGCUUUGACGGGUAGCCGGCCUGAGAGGGUGACCGGUCACAGUGGGACUGAGAUACGGCCCAGACUCCUACGGGAGGCAGCAGUGGGGAAUAGUGCACAAUGGGCGAAAGCCUGAUGCAGCGACGCCGCGUGAGGGAGGGAGGCCUUCGGGUUGUAAACCUCUUUCGCUCAUGGUCAAGCCGCAACUGUGGGUUGUGGUGAGGGUAGUGGGUAAAGAAGCGCCGGCUAACUACGUG
rnacentral:rRNA from 1 species